rnacentral:rRNA from 1 species
GUGGGGAAUAUUGGGCAAUGGGGGAAACCCUGACCCAGCAACGCCGCGUGAAGGAAGAAGGCUUUCGGGUUGUAAACUUCUUUUACCAGGGAAAAACACAAUGAUGGUACCUGGAGAAAAAGCUACGGCUAACUACGUGCCAGCAGCCGCGGUAAUACGUAGGUGGCAAGCGUUGUCCGGAAUUACUGGGUGUAAAGGGCGUGUAGGCGGAACUACAAGUCAGGGGUGAAAACUAUGGGCUUAACCCAUAGCCUGCCUUUGAAACUGUAGUCCUUGAGUGCUGGAGAGGCAAUUGGAAUUCCUAGUGUAGCGGUGAAAUGCGUAGAUAUUAGGAGGAACACCAGUGGCGAAGGCGAAUUGCUGGACAGUAACUGACGCUGAGGCGCGAAAGCGUGGGGAGCAAACAGGAUUAGAAACCCGAGUAGUCC